AGUCUUAUAGUUUAAUAAAAAAUAUUGGAUUGCAAAUCUGGUGAUAACUAGUUUUAAGACUU
rnacentral:tRNA from 1 species